CUGAAGCGGAAACUGCGGCUUAGGUUGUUGUGGAACUGGCUUCUGAAGCGGAAACUGCGGCUUAGGUUGUUGUGGAACUGGCUUCUGAAGCGGAAACUGCGGCUUAGGUUGUUGUGGAACUGGCUUCUGAAGCGGAAACUGCGGCUUAGGUUGUUGUGGAACUGGCUUCUGAAGCGGAAACUGCGGCUUAGGUUGUUGUGGAACUGGCUUCUGAAGCGGAAACUGCGGCUUAGGUUGUUGUGGAACUGGCUUCUGAAGCGGAAACUGCGGCUUAGGUUGUUGUGGAACUGGCUUCUGAAGCGGAAACUGCGGCUUAGGUUGUUGUGGAACUGGCUUCUGAAGCGGAAACUGCGGCUUAGGUUGUUGUGGAACUGGCUUCUGAAGCGGAAACUGCGGCUUAGGUUGUUGUGGAACUGGCUUCUGAAGCGGAAACUGCGGCUUAGGUUGUUGUGGAACUGGCUUCUGAAGCGGAAACUGCGGCUUAGGUUGUUGUGGAACUGGCUUCUGAAGCGGAAACUGCGGCUUAGGUUGUUGUGGAACUGGCUUCUGAAAUGGAAACUGCGGCUUAGGUUGUUGUGGAACUGGCUUCUGAAACGAAAACUGCUGGUUAGUUAGCUGUUGAACUGGUUUCUGAGGUGGAAACUGCUGGUUAGUUAGCUGUUGAACUGGCUUCUGGAGCUGAAACUGCUGGUCAGUUUGCUGGAUCAUCAGAGCUUGAGCAUCCUGAAGCGAUUGACUCCACUGUGGGACAGCAUGACAGAAAGCACAGACCACCAAAAUCUGAGCCAAACACCAACUUCCAGCCAUUGUUCAACAGCUAAACACAAA